GACGAACGCUGGCGGCGUGCUUAACACAUGCAAGUCGAACGGAAAGGCCCUGCUUUUGUGGGGUGCUCGAGUGGCGAACGGGCGAGUAACACGUGAGUAACCUGCCCUUGACUUUGAGCUAACUUCAGGAAACGGGGGCUAAUACCGGAUAGGCGCUCCUGCUGCAGGGGGGGGGAUGGAAAGUUUCGGGGGUUGGGGAUGGACUCGCGGCUUAUCGGCUUGUUGGUGGGGUAGUGGCUUACCAAGGCUUUGACGGGUACCCGGCCGGGGGGGGUGACCGGCCACAUUGGGAUUGGGACACGGCCCAGCCUCCUCCGGGAGCCAGCAGGGGGGAUUUUGGCCCAAGGGGCGGAAGCCGGAGGCGGCAACGCCGCGUGCGGGAUGGCGGCCUUCGGGUGGAAAACCGUUUUCGCCUGUGACGAAGCGGGAGUGACGGUAAUGGGUAAAGAAGCACCGGCUAACUACGUG
rnacentral:rRNA from 1 species